AUUGAACGCUGGCGGCAGGCCUAACACAUGCAAGUCGAGCGGAGCGUCGGACGCGUGAGUAUUGCCUAGGAAUCUGCCUCGUACUGUUGGAUAACGUCCGGAACCGGGCGCUCAUACCGCAUCCUUUCCAAUGAGCAUAAGUGGGAUUAGCUAGUUAGGGUGGUAAAGGCCUACCAAGUCGACGAUCCGUAUCUGGUCUGAGAGGCUGAUCAGUCACACUGGAACGGAGACACGGUCCAGACUCCUACGGGAGGCAGCAGUGGGGAAUAUUGGACAAUGGGCGAAAGCCUGAUCCAGCCAUGCCGCGUGUGUGAAGAAGGUCUUAGGGUUGUAAAGCACUUUAAGUUGGGAGGCGUUACCAACAGAAUAAGCACCGGCUAACUUCGUGCCAGCCGCCGCGGUAAUAC
rnacentral:rRNA from 1 species